UAUUUAAUAUAAAACUAUUCUUUUGAUAUAUUUUAAAUUUAAAGUUUUCUGGUGCUGUGCAGUUUACACUUAUUAUUUUUAAACGUUUCCUUCAAAUUUUGACAGGAGCUUUCAAUAUAUUUGGUGUUUACAAAAUUUCGGUUUCAUAAAUAUAGUUUUACAAGUUGUUUAACUUAUAAAAUAAUAUGAUGGGCUUAAACCUGACAAACUCGCUGAAUUGAGAGAAGGAAAUAUAUAAAUGAAUAUAUGUUUAUAUCCAAUUGAACAUUGCCUGAUUCAAGACAAGACAAGAUUUUUCUAUCUUGAUGGAGUCAUCCUAACUAAAUAAAUACUGUUAUUGUAAUACUUUCAAA